AUUGAACGCUGGCGGCAUGCCUUACACAUGCAAGUCGAACGGCAGCACGGGUGCUUGCCCCUGGUGGCGAGUGGCGAACGGGUGAGUAAUACAUCGGAACAUGUCCUGUAGUGGGGGAUAGCCCGGCGAAAGCCGGAUUAAUACCGCAUACGAUCUACGGAUGAAAGCGGGGGACCUUCGGGCCUCGCGCUAUUGGGUUGGCAGAUGGCUGAUUAGCUAGUUGGUGGGGUAAAGGCCUACCAAGGCGACGAGCAGUAGCUGGUCUGAGAGGACGACCAGCCACACUGGGACUGAGACACGGCCCAGACUCCUACGGGAGGCAGCAGUGGGGAAUUUUGGACAAUGGGCGAAAGCCUGAUCCAGCAAUGCCGCGUGUGUGAAGAAGGCCUUCGGGUUGUAAAGCACUUUUGUCCGGAAAGAAAUCCUUGGCCCUAAUACGGUCGGGGGAUGACGGUACCGGAAGAAUAAGCACCGGCUAACUACGUG
rnacentral:rRNA from 1 species